rnacentral:rRNA from 1 species
AUUUUUUUUUUUUUUUUUUUUCUUUGUAGACGACGCUGGCGGCGUGCUUAAUACAUGCAAGUCGAACGAACUCUGGUAUUGAUUGGUGCUUGCAUCAUGAUUUACAUUUGAGUGAGUGGCGAACUGGUGAGUAACACGUGGGAAACCUGCCCAGAAGCGGGGGAUAACACCUGGAAACAGAUGCUAAUACCGCAUAACAACUUGGACCGCAUGGUCCGAGCUUGAAAGAUGGCUUCGGCUAUCACUUUUGGAUGGUCCCGCGGCGUAUUAGCUAGAUGGUGGGGUAACGGCUCACCAUGGCAAUGAUACGUAGCCGACCUGAGAGGGUAAUCGGCCACAUUGGGACUGAGACACGGCCCAAACUCCUACGGGAGGCAGCAGUAGGGAAUCUUCCACAAUGGACGAAAGUCUGAUGGAGCAACGCCGCGUGAGUGAAGAAGGGUUUCGGCUCGUAAAACUCUGUUGUUAAAGAAGAACAUAUCUGAGAGUAACUGUUCAGGUAUUGACGGUAUUUAACCAGAAAGCCACGGCUAACUACGUGCCAGCAGCCGCGGUAAUACGUAGGUGGCAAGCGUUGUCCGGAUUUAUUGGGCGUAAAGCGAGCGCAGGCGGUUUUUUAAGUCUGAUGUGAAAGCCUUCGGCUCAACCGAAGAAGUGCAUCGGAAACUGGGAAACUUGAGUGCAGAAGAGGACAGUGGAACUCCAUGUGUAGCGGUGAAAUGCGUAGAUAUAUGGAAGAACACCAGUGGCGAAGGCGGCUGUCUGGUCUGUAACUGACGCUGAGGCUCGAAAGUAUGGGUAGCAAACAGGAUUAGAUACCCUGGUAGUCCAUACCGUAAACGAUGAAUGCUAAGUGUUGGAGGGUUUCCGCCCUUCAGUGCUGCAGCUAACGCAUUAAGCAUUCCGCCUGGGGAGUACGGCCGCAAGGCUGAAACUCAAAGGAAUUGACGGGGGCCCGCACAAGCGGUGGAGCAUGUGGUUUAAUUCGAAGCUACGCGAAGAACCUUACCAGGUCUUGACAUACUAUGCAAAUCUAAGAGAUUAGACGUUCCCUUCGGGGACAUGGAUACAGGUGGUGCAUGGUUGUCGUCAGCUCGUGUCGUGAGAUGUUGGGUUAAGUCCCGCAACGAGCGCAACCCUUAUUAUCAGUUGCCAGCAUUAAGUUGGGCACUCUGGUGAGACUGCCGGUGACAAACCGGAGGAAGGUGGGGAUGACGUCAAAUCAUCAUGCCCCUUAUGACCUGGGCUACACACGUGCUACAAUGGAUGGUACAACGAGUUGCGAACUCGCGAGAGUAAGCUAAUCUCUUAAAGCCAUUCUCAGUUCGGAUUGUAGGCUGCAACUCGCCUACAUGAAGUCGGAAUCGCUAGUAAUCGCGGAUCAGCAUGCCGCGGUGAAUACGUUCCCGGGCCUUGUACACACCGCCCGUCACACCAUGAGAGUUUGUAACACCCAAAGUCGGUGGGGUAACCUUUUAGGAACCAGCCGCCUAAGGUGGGACAGAUGAUUAGGGUGAAGUCGUAACAAGGUAGCCGUAGGAGAACCUGCG